UGGACCAAUGAUGACGACUGGUGCGUAUGAGUCAUGGAUGAUGAAUAUUACGUGUCUGAAACUCUGAGGUCCAA
ensembl:snoRNA